AAUUUUGAACAAAUGGCUUGACCUCUUUUAUUUUUAAUCUUCUCUCCCAUUUUUCAGAUGAAGAGACUGAAGCCCAGAGAAGGCAAAGACUUACCUCAAGCCACACAGUGACUUAAAAAAGAGCAGAGCAUCCGGUUCCCUUGUCCACACUACAGUAUCUGCUGCCUCUCCCGAAGGCAAGAGAAAGCAGCAGGAAGAGUCAGAGAGGAAAGGGAGUGCCCAUGAGUAGAAGUCACCACGGACCACCACCUGUGAAGAUGCUUCUGUAUGACUGGUAGUAUUUAUGGCCAAUGUGGAUGAUGACUCCUCCCCUCUCCAACCUUGAAUUUUUCUCAUUUAAAUUUAUACUGGCCUCCAUUUUCAAUUCUUAUUUCUGUAGAAGCUAUUUGGGUCAUAGUAUUAUGUUUUUUUGUUUGUUUCCUCAAUUAUCUUAAUGAUUUUUGCUGAAAUUUGUUUCUAAUCCCUGCAGAACAAAGAAAGGUACAAACAACCAAAUAAACCACAAAUCACAAUGAUUUCCGUGCAUCACCUGUGGUGUUGUCUCAUGAAGGAACUCCUGGGAAGAAGGCUGAAGACCAGAUUGGGGCACAGAGGUUUGAGAGCAAGAAGGAUAUUCAAACCAUAUAACAGCCAGAAAAGCAGAGGCAGCAACCAUUUGGAAGCACACUGGCAGUGGUCCUGGAGUUCCCCAGGAAAAAGUUGGGAUGGCAGUGGUGGUGGGCCAACGCUCCACAGAAGCUUAAGACAGGACAACUGAUAUUAAGUAUAACAGUAUUUCAAUGACGAGCAGAGCAUACCAGGUAAAUUGGCCAUGUUGGAGAGGAAAGUUAACUUCCACUCAGACAAAGAAUUUUCAUUGUGUGACUUGGGAUUUGAACUCUGCGAAGAUGACACUCUUUCUGUUGUGCAUACUCUCAUUUGAUCUCUCCAUCCUUUAUGUGAGGACAAACUGCAGACAUGCCUGGGACGAUGAGCACCAACAAACUCUCCUGGAGGCGUCAGCGAUGUCAAAGACUUUCCUCUGAAUAGCUUUGUCGCAUUGGUGGAGAGAUUCUCCAACAACCUUGGGAAUG
rnacentral:lncRNA from 1 species